GUAACGGAGGAGUACGAAGGUACGCUAGGUACGGUCGGAAAUCGUGCUGAUAGUGCAAUGGCAUAAGCGUGCUUAACUGCGAGACCGACAAGUCGAGCAGGUGCGAAAGCAGGUCAUAGUGAUCCGGUGGUUCUGUAUGGAAGGGCCAUCGCUCAACGGAUAAAAGGUACUCUGGGGAUAACAGGCUGAUACCGCCCAAGAGUUCAUAUCGACGGCGGUGUUUGGCACCUCGAUGUCGGCUCAUCUCAUCCUGGGGCUGUAGCCGGUCCCAAGGGUAUGGCUGUUCGCCAUUUAAAGAGGUACGUGAGCUGGGUUUAAAACGUCGUGAGACAGUUUGGUCCCUAUCUGCCGUGGGCG
rnacentral:rRNA from 1 species